rnacentral:lncRNA from 1 species
UGAUGGUGAUGCUCCGGAGGAUAAGCUGUAGGAUAAGCUGUCGGAGGAUAAGCUGUCGGAGGAUAAGCCGCCGGAUGGUUAUGCCCGUAACCAUGUCCUACGACUGGUUGGGGAGUCGUCACAGGUGUGUGAUGAGGCACAUGACUUUGAGAAACAUGGUAAUGAGAUUGCUUAUCCAUAAGCUUCUCUUCAGCAUGAGCUUCUUUAGCCACGUGCAUAUCCAGCUUAGCCUCUGCUUCCCUUGCCUUUCUACGCUCGUGUGCUACCUUUUUCUCCUCUUUAGUUUGUGCCCUUGCCUUCUCCGCCUUAAUUAAGCAAACAAAUAAUAAUUAGGCAUAUUACACGUUAAUAUAAAUGAUUGAUUAUAGCUUUGAUUAGAACCUUCUCUUCAGCUUUUGCUCGACAUAUCACCAUCUUCUUUUUGGCUGUACUGGCCAAAUCGCUUAGCUUCUGUUUUGCCGAUUGCAUUUUUGUGUUUGUAUAAAAGGGUUCUUGUUUGUAUUUUUUUUUUUUUUUUGUAAACUUCUUGUUUGUUUUUUCAUUACUACAAACUGGUUAGUGUUUAAUUUAAAUGAAAUGCAUGAUAGCCUCGUCGGUCCAAGAUAAGUCCCGUAUGUGCCACGUAUCGUUAACUCACCACGUGUCUUGAUUGAUUCCCAGCCUUCUAAUUAGCUGCCACGUAGAGAUGCUUCGUUGGCUUACAUAUUGAUCUCUACUCACGCGGUCUUUUACCCGGUUUAUAGUAUAAACCGGCCAAAAUUUGGUCGUAAAUCAUUGGUUUAGCUAAUCAUCCAAUUGAUAAACCGGAAAUACAAACGAAAACCCCUUUCGGUUUACGUAUUGCAGCUAAUUGUUAUUUUUCCCCGAAUUGUAGAAUUUUUAACAUCAGCCGGCCAAAAUUUGAUCGUGAAUCACUGGUCUAGCUAAUUAUUCAAUUUAUAAACCGGAAAUACAAACUAAAACCUUUGCCGGUUUACAUAAUGCAGCGAGUGGUUGCUCUUUUCUCCAAUCAUAGAAACACUUAUCUUCAACUGGCCGUAACCAUUGGUGUAACUAAUCAUCCAAGCCUAGACAGAAGAGAGGAUAGAAUUUAAAUAAACCGGGAAUACAAACCAAAACCCACUUCCGGUUUAAGUAUUUGCAGCGAAUGGUUGGUUGCUCUUUCACCUUAUCUUCAACCUCUCGACGUAAAGCCGCGAAAAAAUCAAAAUACCCCCCCCAAGAAGAUGGCUCUGGCAUUCCCCUGUACAUUUUGUACUCCGUUUCAGCUGAAGACGUCUCCGAUCAAUCGUCGAUAUUCUCCGAGCAUCCGUCCACAAGCUACGUCGAGUGAAUUUCGAAUUCCUGUAGAAAUUUCGAGUCCAGCGGAUAGAGGAUCGUUGGCUGUGCCUACGCACAAGGUUACUGUACACGAUCGACAAAGAGGAGUAGUUCAUGAGUUUGAGGUUCCAGAGGUGAGUGUUUUCGAUCCGUAUGUAUCUUUGAUUUUGCCGAUUAUGAUGGUAGCUCCUUGGUUAUAUGUAUUGUUGAAAGAUGAGAAUGUAUUCUAAAUGCAGGAUCAGUACAUAUUGCACUCAGCUGAAUCUCAGAACAUUACUCUUCCCUUUGCUUGCAGGCAUGGUACUCUUCUCUUCAACCCUUUCACUAAGUCCUGUAUAUGUUUAAUCAGUAUGUUAGAGCCACAUGCGUGAAGAAUAUGGUCUUGUGAUGAGUAGAAAGGCGCUUUGUUAUGUGUCUUUACUACUACAGUUUGAGUUUUAAAGUCGUUGAAUGUCCCUUGUUAUGUUGACAGGUUGCUGCACUAGUUGUGCUGUACGUGUAAAAUCUGGAGAGCUGAUGCAGCCUCAAGCAUUAGGAAUAUCAGCAGAACUCAAGUCUCAGGUAAUAUCUCUUUUGGGAGGCUGGGACUACAUAUACUAAUUGUGAUGAUCGUAGGAGCAAUCAACUCUGUUGAGUCAACGAGAACAAUGCGAAGCUUUUACCAGUGAUUCUCAUCGCUUCAGAUUAUACAGUGUCAAAGCUUAUCUCAUUGUAUUUGUUUUAGAGAAUGUAUAACAUAGUUUAGGUGGAAUAGCAAUUCCUUAACAAAGCAUAGUGAUUUUUGUUUGUGGAUCUUUAGCUCUGAGGCUUUUAAAUGCAGGGAUAUGCACUUCUUUGUGUGGAGCAGAUGACUAUGAUUUAUUUAUAAAACGAUGAUGUCGCAAACUUUAUUAGCAGGACUUCAAUACUCUUUGUCUACCACGUGUCUGUCAUGUUAUCUUCAUUAAGCUUAUGUUCUUCUAAUACAAAAGAAGACAGGUCUCACAUGGUCAAUAGCUUAUACUGCCCUGAUGGACUUUCGAUUUAAUAUAUGAACAAAAGAAAAAGUAAGAUUGACGUCAAUCCUCUUGUAGGUAUCCCGGACGUUCUCAAAAUAUAUAUCAAUAAACGUUUACAAAGAGCAUCAUCUUCAACGCCUACUUACUUAUUCAACUUUAAAAGAAAGUCACUAAACGUUUCCAUAGGGGUGAUGAUGGUGAUGCUCCGGAGGAUAAGCUGUAGGAUAAGCUGUCGGAGGAUAAGCUGUCGGAGGAUAAGCCGCCGGAUGGUUAUGCCCGUAACCAUGUCCUACGACUGGUUGGGGAGUCGUCACAGGUGUGUGAUGAGGCACAUGACUUUGAGAAACAUGGUAAUGAGAUUGCUUAUCCAUAAGCUUCUCUUCAGCAUGAGCUUCUUUAGCCACGUGCAUAUCCAGCUUAGCCUCUGCUUCCCUUGCCUUU